UACGGAGGGAGCUAGCGUUGUUCGGAAUUACUGGGCGUAAAGCGCACGUAGGCGGCCAUUCAAGUCAGAGGUGAAAGCCCGGGGCUCAACCCCGGAACUGCCUUUGAAACUAGGUGGCUAGAAUCUUGGAGAGGCGAGUGGAAUUCCGAGUGUAGAGGUGAAAUUCGUAGAUAUUCGGAAGAACACCAGUGGCGAAGGCGACUCGCUGGACAAGUAUUGACGCUGAGGUGCGAAAGCGUGGGGAGCAAACAGG
rnacentral:rRNA from 1 species